GUCAAUGGAGUACAGUGGAAAGAAUAUUAGAUUUAGAUUCAGAGGACUUGGGUUCAGAUCCUGACUUUGGCA
rnacentral:tRNA from 1 species